UACGGAGGGUGCAAGCGUUACCCGGAUUCACUGGGCGUAAAGAGUUCGUAGGCGGCCCUAUAAGUCGUAUUUUAAAGACCAGAGCUUAACUUUGGAAAGGGAUACGAUACUGUUGGGCUCGAGACACUUAGGGGCUAUUGGAACUGUCGGUGUAGGGGUGAAAUCCGUUGAUAUCGACAGGAACUCCGAGGGCGAAGGCAGAUAGCUGGGAGUGUACUGACGCUGAGGAACGAAAGCUAGGGUAGCGAAAGGG
rnacentral:rRNA from 1 species